ACUAACGAAUCAUGAUAGAAAGAAACGUUUGUUUCCCACCAAGUAUAUGUAUAAGCUCACAAGCAUUCUGCUGUUGUAUUUGCCACUCACAGAACGUGUUCAUGAUACUAAAUCGUAAAAUCUGUAAACCAAUACCAUUAUUGGGUUUAUAUUUUGGGUUAAACUGUUGACAUGUUCAAACAUUAUAAACGUCAAUAAUCAUGUUACAAGAAGAUAACUACUGGUGUGGAAACAACACUUACAUGUGGCCAUGGGUAAUGGGAGAGGGUCAGAAAUACAGUAUCAAAUCCCUGCAACACAGCAUGAGCUGGAUGCUGCAUAUUAAAGGGCAAAAAUAAGGUAGAGUGAUGAAAACAAGAAGAAGCUGGGUGUCCAAGGUAACUGUUGCCAUGUCAACACAUCAUAAACAGAUUGCCCUCCUUGGAGUAAGUUCAAGGAAUUUUCUGUCGCUCCUGCCCACGGAUUUGAACGUUCAGAAUGAAUUAAGUCUAAGCAAUUUUUAGAAAACUUCUACAUCCUAGAAGUCAAUGGCUACCAAACUGUGAGAAACAGGAAGCAGCGCUCUAGGCCUCACAAUCUAUACAGAAAAUGGAAGUUGAAUAUUAUGAGCAUGGCUGGAUGAGCGGUUUGGAGGUCAGCACCUGGGAUCUGAACCCGUGAACCCCAGGCUGCCAAAGAGGAGAGCAUGAAUUUAAACCACUGUAUUACCGGACCAGCCCGAAGUACAAUAUGUUUUAAAAGAACCACGAUAUGACCUUAUAUUGAACUUUAAAAAUAUCUGACGUUGUCUUUUCUAUGCCUAACAGAAAUUUUACCAUGAAUAAAAUAAUGACAUUCAUGGAAUGAGAGUUAACGUUUUUUGAGUGCUGCUCCUGUGCCAAGGAUGAAACUAGACACAUCAAUGCUCCUGUGCGUCCGCCCACAGCCUGCUUGUCUUCCCCAUCCACACCUCUGUGUCAGACAGUGACAUUAUCAUUUUUUACUGAAUCCAGCUUUCGUUUGCCUGCUUCUGAGAUUUUGCUAAGGCUUUUCAUCUUUUUGGUAUGGAUUCAACUUGUCGUACUUGAAUCUACUUUUAGGAUUUCACUAAGGUUGGAUUCCCCAGGUGUAGCAUCUGAAACAGGUCCGUGAGAUAUGUUGGGGGAGUGCUCUCAGGAGAAAGAGAAUGGAGAAGCAGCAUCAAGCAAAGAAAGCAGCUAAGCAAGGAUGUGCUGUCCACUAGAGCUUAGCUUUAGUAUGUUAGUCAGUCACUGAACACAGACUACAACCCUAUGGGCUGGGAGUAUAGGGGGUGUUCUCCAGUUGGGGUUGUUUUCUGGAGAAUGGAACAGUUCUGAGCCUUAGCAACUCAACCGCUCAGCAGGUGGGGUGUAGGGACCCUGGCUGGUAAAGGUAAUCUAGUUCACCAAUGGAAUCUACCAUGGUUUAUGUUUCAAAAUACUCAGACCAGCUUAUGUUUUACACUCAGUUACUGCAGCGAGGUACAGCUUUUUUUGGAUUUUGGUUGCUCACAAUUUCUGAGAAAACUUACAAGAGGAAGGAUAGUGGGGUAAAUAGUGGGGCAAACUACAAAUCUCAAUGCUAUAGUUGGUCUGGAGGCUGGAACUGAUACUUAUCAUAUCUCCUUCAAAAUUCAUUCUAGAUUGCCCUACCCUUUGGCUGGCACUUCUGUGAGUCUUGGUGGCUUUUCAUGGCGGAUGAUCCAAACCAUCAAGUCAAAGGAGACUUAAGUCCAUUUUUAUGAUGCCCUUGUUAGUCCUCGGAUGCUUUUCUUGUCCAUGUGUGG
ensembl:lncRNA